ACGAACGCUGGCGGCAUGCCUAACACAUGCAAGUCGAACGAGACCUUCGGGUCUAGUGGCGCACGGGUGCGUAACGCGUGGGAACCUGCCCUUAGGUUCGGAAUAACUCCCCGAAAGGGGUGCUAAUACCGGAUAAUGUCUUCGGACCAAAGAUUUAUCGCCUUUGGAUGGGCCCGCGUUGGAUUAGCUAGUUGGUAGGGUAAAAGCCUACCACGGCGACGAUCCAUAGCUGGUCUGAGAGGAUGAUCAGCCACACUGGGACUGAGACACGGCCCAGACUCCUCCGGGAGGCAGCAGUGGGGAAUAUUGGACAAUGGGCGAAAGCCUGAUCCAGCAGUGCCGCGUGAGUGAUGAAGGCCUUAGGGUUGUAAAGCUCUUUUACCCGGGAUGAUAAUGACAGUACCGGGAGAAUAAGCUCCGGCUAACUCCGU
rnacentral:rRNA from 1 species